AACGGAAUUUAGUCAGCUGCCAGAGCAUCUCGGCUGCGUUUACAUUUGGCGUCAAAAUGCGUCUUGUAUUCGGAUGUUUUCAACUUAUGGGACACAUACCUGCCUGAUGCCUUGCAAAAGCGCUUGGGAACUACAGUGACCCAAAAUAAGCACUGCUCAAAAUCCACCUGAUUUUGAUCCAUAUUCACUACAUCCAGCACAAAGAUUCAGCAAUAAUGCCACGAUCAAAGGAACUUCCAGAAGAUGUAAAAGAAAAGAUAAUUUUUUACCAUACGUCUGGUAAGGGUUACAAAGCUAUUUCUAAAAUUAUGGGACUGCAUCGAUCCACUGUCAGAACUAUAAUUUCCAAAUGGAAAACACAUGGAACAGUGAUGAACCUUCCAAGAAGUGGUCGACCCACAAAAAUUUCACCACGGACACAACGCAAAAUCAUCCAGGAAGUCACAAAGAAACCCAAAAUAACGUCCAAGGAACUGCAGGCUUCUCUUGCUUCAGCUAAAGUCAAAGUUCAUGACUCUACAAUCAGACGGAGACUGGGCAAAAUUAGGAAAGGCGAGAUGGUAUCGAAGCGAAAAACUAUGCCGAAAAAGAACAUGCAUGCUUGUGUCUUGUUCAAAAAUAAUCUCCAGGAAGAUUCUCAAGUUUUUGAGGAAAAUAUUUUAAAAACAGAAGUGGCAGAAGUGGAAGUCUUAAUCUGAUAAGAGGCCCAUCAUGUCCAGUGUAAAACUAACAGACAGCAAGUAUUAAAAAAAUGUAUUUUGUAUCUGUAUUUACUUAUGGUGACAUAUUUUUUUAUAUUUUGCUGUGUCAGGUAUGAGUACUCACUGAAUAAGGCCUGACUGAAAAAAUAAGAAAAAUACUCAUCUAUAUUACUGUUCCUAUGCAAAGGAAAUAAAAUAUAAGUUAAAAACAUGCAUGUCAAAUAACUGUCAUGUGAUUUAUUCAAAAUUCAACUACAUUUGUGUUAUGUCUUAAACCUGGAUUAUUGUCAAAUGCUAUCCCCGGUUUCACAGACAAAGCUUAAGUCUAGUCCCAGACUAAAAAGUAAGUAUGAGCUGUUUCAGCUGGAAGAAACUUGCACUGACUGAUCUUAAAAUAGUCAUGUGAAAAAGUUAGGACACCCUAUUGAAUUUCAUGGUUUUUUAUAUCAGGACAUAAUAAAAAAUUAUCUGGUCUUUGGCAGGUCUUAAAAUUUGGAAAAUAAAUCCUCAGAUAAACAUCAUCACAUGACAUUAUCACACAGUGUCGUUAUUUAUUUAAGAAAAAUACAGCCAAGAGGGAAAGGCCACGUGUGACGAAGUUAGGACACCCUAUGAGUCAAUUGCCUGUAGAUUCACUUUUAGCAGUAAUAAUUUGAAGCAUUCAUUUUCUGUGUGACUUUAUCAGUCUCUCACAUGGUUCUGGAGGAAUUUGGACCGCUCUUCUUUUCACCGUUGCUCCAGUUCAUUGAGAUGCUUUGUGUUUGGGCUCUACUGUAAACCUGGAUCAUCCUGUGAAGAUUCAUCAAAUGCAUAAUGCCACGAUCAAAUGAACUUCCUGAAGAGUUCAAAGAGAAGAUCAUUUUCUACCAUAAGGCAGGUAAAGGAUACAAAUCCAUUUCGAAGAUUAUGGGAGUUCACCGCUCCACAAUCAGAUCCAUAAUCUGCAAGUGGAAAAUGCUGGGAACAGUGAUGAAUCUUCCUAGGAGUGGUCGACCGUCUAAAAUCUCUUUGCGGGCGCAACGUAAAAUCGUCCAGGAAGUUGCAAAAAACCCUGAAAUAACAUCUAAAGAGAUGCAGGCUAUUCUUGCGUUAUCUAAAGUCAAAGUUCAUGAAUCCACGAUCAGGAAGAGACUGAACCGAAUCAGGCAUCGUGAGAGAGUGUCGAGGCGAAAAUCACUGCAGAAAAAGAAGAAAAUAAAUGCUCAUCUCUUGUCAGAGAAGAAGCUACAAGAAGACGCUCACGUUUUUGAGGAAAAUCUUGUAAAGACAGAAGUGGCAGAAGUCGAAGUUUUUAUUUUGUAAAGAAACAGGCACAACAAUCCACUGUAAAAACAUGUUGCCACCAGUGUUACACUUCUAAUAGGCUUUAUUUUGUACUUGUAUUUAAUUCUGGCACCGUAUUUGUUUUACGUAUUGCUGUGUCAGGCAUGAAUAUAUUUUUAUGUACAGUUUAUACAAUAUACAUAUCAUUUUGUUUACUCACUAAAGUGGUUCUGUGCAAUAAGACUUGCAGUAAUAUUUUUGUUCAUCUCAUUGUAUGAGGCCUGACAGCAAAACACCAGAAAUGUUUGUCAGUAUUACUAUUGUAAACAAAUAAUAAAAAAAAAGCAUGCAUGUCAAAUGUUUGUCAUAUCAAUUGCUUGGGUUAUGACUUUGUUGGGGCCUAAAAUGGAACAUCUGUAGAAAAGUGUGUAAGCAUUAAUGGGUUUUUAUUGUUUAUUUUCUAUACUAAAAGUCAUGUUUCAAGUUCUUGUGGAAA